ACAUGGCAAGGUUACACAUAAAAACUGCAGUCUGUUUUCCUCUCUGACAGAAGUAGAGAGAGGAAGCUUCAGUUUUUUUCUGCAAUAUCACAUUAAAACAUAAAUGAAAAACAGAACGGAACAACUGAAUGCCAAGGAAGCGCGUACAUUCAUGACAGAGAGCCAGGAAAGAAGGAAGGACAGACAAAAGACAGAGACUAUGAGCACAAUAAAAUAAACACAGCGGCUACACAUUGGCAGAGUUCACAGGACCAGCUCUGACAUCAGUAAAGUGAGAGAGGAAGAGGGGUGCACCACCACUUUACGGAAACCGCUUGACAGUUUCAUACCCUGAGACAGUUUGAAAAUAGGAAACAGACGCUUAAGAGAAACAGAAAAAAGAAAGAAAGACAAAAGGAUAAAACAAAGCCCGUUUAAACCAAACCAUGUUGAUGAAAGAAUACCGGAUAUGCAUGCCGCUCACUGUCGAUGAGGCAGGAGUGAGUUGUUCACCUCAAGGCUAGGAACAAAACACAAAGGCCUUUAACCACAAGCAGCUUGGAAUUUCUACAAGGGGGUCAGGGGCUGUUUAGGCGGUCUGUGUUUUGCCUUUGAGUAGCCAACUUGUGCUCGUUCGGAUCAGACAAGUCCACACAAGCACACCUGACCUAAAGUCUGCCUCAGAAUUCGUCUAUGGUCUACAUCAGCACAUAGUUUCCAGACAGGAGCACCACCCCCUUUUUUCUGGAGUAGCUCUGUUUUGCGUACAGACAGCUUUUUUCUCCAAGCCUCAAGGUCUCUGUCUGUCAUCAUCAUCGGUGACAAUGAUUGUUGGAUACAAGAUCGGCCAGUUAUACAUGAUCAGCAAGCACAGCAGUGAGCAGAGCGGGGGAGGCGAAGGGGUGGAGGUCGUCCGUAAUGAACCCUGCACAGACCCCAAACAUGGAGCCGGACAGAUGACAGAGAAACGUAUCUACCUCAACAGCAAACUGCCAACCUGGAUAAGAAAGUUUGUUCCCAUGGUUUUUUAUAUCACGGAAACUGCCUGGAACUUCUACCCUUACACCAUAACAGGUCAGUUCAAGCAUUAUGUUACAAUAAAUACACCAGUGUUUGAAUAUUAACGUACCAUCACAUGGCACGUACAUCCAUCUUGUCUGUUCAAUGCACCAGCUGUGACAUAACACCAUAUUUCUUCUCUGCAUUCCUCUCUCCUUCUCCGUCCACUGGUGUUUUACUAAAGAGUACACGUGUUCCUUCCUACCGAGGUUCCAUGUCAGGAUUGAGACGAGCUUUAAGAAUGACAACGGUUGCAGUGAAAAUGUGUUUGGUGAUGACCUCACUCCAAAGGACAGUGUCUGCUUUUUAGAUAUUUUGAGUGAUCCAAUCCCUGACAAGCAUUAUAAGAAGGCUGAGGUAAAUAUACAUUCAUAUAAGCAUAAAUACAUUGCAAAAUAAAAUCUGGGUUGGGUCAAAAUGGGCUCAUUUGAAUGUUGAAUUGUCAACACGCCAUAGGACACUAAAUUGGGGUUUUCAAAGAUUUCGAUGCAAAGUAUGCUCUCAAUAUAAUGAUCCUCUUGAGAGAGACUCCCUUCCUAAAAUAUAAAGCAAUUAUAUAUCUAUAAGUAUAAAG